rnacentral:rRNA from 1 species
ACGAACGCUGGCGGCGUGCCUCAUACCUGCAAGUCGCACGCUUCUUUCCUCCCGAGUGCUUGCACUCAAUUGGAAAGAGGAGUGGCGGACGGGUGAGUAACACGUGGGUAACCUACCCAUCAGAGGGGGAUAACACUUGGAAACAGGUGCUAAUACCGCAUAACAGUUUAUGCCGCAUGGCAUAAGAGUGAAAGGCGCUUUCGGGUGUCGCUGAUGGAUGGACCCGCGGUGCAUUAGCUAGUUGGUGAGGUAACGGCUCACCAAGGCCACGAUGCAUAGCCGACCUGAGAGGGUGAUCGGCCACACUGGGACUGAGACACGGCCCAGACUCCUACGGGAGGCAGCAGUAGGGAAUCUUCGGCAAUGGACGAAAGUCUGACCGAGCAACGCCGCGUGAGUGAAGAAGGUUUUCGGAUCGUAAAACUCUGUUGUUAGAGAAGAACAAGGACGUUAGUAACUGAACGUCCCCUGACGGUAUCUAACCAGAAAGACACGGCUAACUACGUG